UGGCGAGUGGCGAACGGGUGAGUAAUACAUCGGAACGUGCCCAGUUGUGGGGGAUAGCCCGGCGAAAGCCGGAUUAAUACCGCAUACGACCUGAGGGUGAAAGCGGGGGAUCGCAAGACCUCGCGCAAUUGGAGCGGCCGAUGUCAGAUUAGCUAGUUGGUGGGGUAAAGGCCUACCAAGGCGACGAUCUGUAGCUGGUCUGAGAGGACGACCAGCCACACUGGGACUGAGACACGGCCCAG
rnacentral:rRNA from 1 species